rnacentral:lncRNA from 1 species
AAGCUCCUUAUGUUCACUGUCUCUGCCACCAAACACAUAAAUAGUUUUCCCAACUGCGGCCAUUGUGACGCCGACCCGCGGCGGCGGUAUGUCUCCGGUGACUUGAAGGGUAGACCAUGUUCGGUUGUCGAGAUCAAAGACGUGCAGGUCGUUGUCGACAGGGACACGUGGCGCAAACUCGCCACCAAAAGCGUAGGCCAUGUGUCCUACUAAGGUAAUGGCGUGUGAGCUUCUGGCUCCGGGACCAGUCCCUUUCUGAUCAAGCUGAUACAAGCAGAUAACAAAAAAUUACUGAAUUCAAAUUUCUCGGAAAUAAAUUUCAGUCAAAUCAAGAAAAGGAGAUUUUGGAUUCAAUAAAAAUAACAGGAAUUGAAUUCCUAAUAUAAACCAUUUUCAUGAAAUUGAUUGAUCAAGAAGAAGAGAGAGAGAGAGAAGUUACCUCGAUCCAAUUGCCUCGAAUGACCGCCAUGGAAAAGAUUUGCACUGAGUCUCGGAAUUGAAAUGCCUUUGCGUUUCGAAGAACAGAUUAUAAUCAUACAGAGAAGAAUGUUAUCUUCCUAUUUCCAACUGAAGCAUAUGGCCUUAUUUUAGCUUUUAAUUACAAUCGUAUCGUACAAUGGUUAGCUAAUAUAAUUAAAUUUUAUUCGAAUAUUAAAUUACAGGAUUUUUCUUCAGUGAUGGGCUGAUGGCAUGCAAUGUGCCAUGCUGACAUGACAAUCCUAAUAUGUCUACUUAAUAGUUAAUUAAUUAAAACUUUAGUUCACCUAAUCUCUCACAAAAAAAAAAAAAAAAGGUCCACCAUCUGCAAACUCUGCAGGCUUCAUUUUAUAUUAUAUAUAUAAAUUAUUUCUUUUAUUAUUAUAUUUAAUUAUUUGUUUAUUUUUAAGUUAUUUCUUUUAUUAAAAUAAAUUGUUCAUCGUUAGAAAUAUAUUUUCUCACUUAAAAUAAAAAUUAGUUUCAUUUAAAACGUUUUAGUUUUCUCCUUAACCAUAAAAAAAUCUUUUGUUAAUUGAUUUUUCCAAAUAUUUCAAAUACUGCUAAACAAUAUUUUUCAAUAAAUUAUUUUAUGAAAAUAAAAGAAGCCUUAAAAUAAUUUCGCCACUAGAUAGUAGCGUCCACUUAUUAGUAUCAGUGUCAAAAGAGUAAAGCUCAUUAAGCUCCUUGUGUUCACUGUCUCUGCCACCAAACACAUUAAUAGUUUUCCCAACUGCGGCCAUUGUGACACCGACCCGCGGCGGCGGUAUGUCUCCGGUGACUUGAAGGGUAGACCAUGUUCGGUUGUCGAGAUCAAAGACGUGCAGGUCGUUGUCGACAGGGACACGUGGCGCAAACUCGCCACCAAAAGCGUAGGCCAUGUGUCCUACUAAGGUAAUGGCGUGUGAGCUUCUGGCUCCGGGACCAGUCCCUUUCUGAUCAAGCUGAUACAAGCAGAUAACAAAAAUUACUGAAUUCAAAUUUCUCGGAAAUGAAUUUCAGUCAAAUCAAGAAAAGGAGAUUUUGGAUUCAAUAAAAAUAACAGGAAUUGAAUUCCUA